rnacentral:lncRNA from 1 species
UAAAGUGGUGCCCCAGAGCGGGCUAGUCCCAGAGAGUUAAUUAUGCAUAAGCAGUUGCAAAGUUUGCUUUUGCGGUAUAAUAUUGAGCCACAUAUUCUUCACAGUAUAUUUUGCUCAUACCUACUGCCGACUUCCACAUGACAGCUGAAUUGCGAACUGUAAAUGGUUGAAGAUAGAAAACUUAUUAUAGAUUUUACAUCCAGCCCAUGAGGAUUUUGACUGAUUCCAUUGAGCAGGCUCAGAAAUCUCAGACUAGAAACACACGACGUGAGCUAAAAGCAGUUCUGCAAUCUUCCUCAAGAAUGCUCAGACUGAUCCUCUUCCUUCACGCAGCUGAAAUGCCGCCACUUCCUAGGACCACACUGUAAGUUGCUGGAUAUAAAAUGAUUACUCUGAGUAAAUACACACAAACUAGCAAGUGAUUGCAGUGGCCUGUGGAUAAGAAUCAGAAAAACCAAAAGAAUUGAGCUGGCAAAUUGUGUGAGAGAAGGUAGAUUUCCUCGGAGCAGGAAGCAGUGUGUGGUGUGUGGACCCUCAGCCUUUCUUGCAUCCCAACUUUUGAUAGUCGACCUCUUUCAUUGAAAACACAGCUCAGAUGCCUCCUCCCUACUCCCUUGACUUGAUUACUUUCUGUAGAAACCACUAGGAUUUAGACUUAGGGUUUAGGAUCGUCAAAUACCUCUGAAACCUCUUUCAUUUAAGAGAUGAAAAAAUUAAGGGCCAGCAAGAUUGGGUGACUUGUCCAGGGUCACACAGCCCAUUGUUAGCACAGCUGAGACAAAAUCCACAGCUUCUGACGCCCAGAUGAAGGUUUAGGUUUAGUUUUUUUGUUUUAACACUUCGAGUGCUUCAUUAGAACAAAUUUUUUGGAUUCUUUAAAAUGAACUCUUCUUCGUAUUUCCAGGUGUUUGUCAUGUCUCUGACCUAAGAGAAAAUAUUCCGAAUAGUAUAGUAGAAUUAAAUCUAUUUAAAGUUCCCAAGAGCCUGUAUGUUAUUCUUCCUGUAGUACUCAGGUAAUAAACGGUAUUCAUUGGUCA